CCGUCGGAUACGCAUGCGCACUAUGCGGGCGGGACGAUUAGAAAAAAGUCGUUACAGAAAUGAGAUCGGACAUGACUACGAGGUUUUACGUAUCGCUUUCUACGCUAAAAAUGGCACAAGGAGUCUGCUAUGGUCGGCCAGCAAUUUGGGAGAGGCUUGUGAGUGUUGGGGGAAUAUGGUGUAAGCUUAAACGGACGGAAAAUGAUCGUGACUGAUGUUUUUGGAUGUACGUUUGGCGGCCGCCCCCCUCCCACCCUGGGCGGCGCACCCCUAACAGGAUUACCAACGUGUACUUCGUACAGCUGCAGUAGAUACCUCCUUCAGACAUGCAGCACAAGUUGUGAGGGUGGAUAGCCAGUCCUGAGUAAAGCAAGCAUCAGCCAGAAGUUUAGCUGCUGACUACUUCAAUGCUGCUACACACUCCAUAGGAACUGGCUCAUCACACAAAGGACUCCAAACUCCUGCCAAGGAGUUCAGGAUUCAGACACAGAGGAAGGCAGCCUGUGCUGGUGUGGACACUACACGGAGUGCUUUGCAGCAGAGGACUAGAAUAUAGAUGAGAAUUUGGAGAGGAUGUUAUAAGUUUACUUACCUGUAUUUAAAUAUUUGUAUCGACAACAACUUUGUUCUUAUAUCUGAUCGCUGUUGGCCUAAGGGCUGCUAACUGACUAAGACCUUCAUAGCUUAUGAAAGUUGUGUUUCAGUGUUGUGCGAUUGUAUGAACUAUGUGAUUAUGAUUUGUGAUACAUUUUACAUAUUUGUCAGUAUUGUAUUGUACCUACACAGGUCACAUUUGAUAAUUCCAUUUGUACCUGCAUAUACUGGUGGUAUUUUGAACCCUCACUUGCAUCUGCCCCUCACCCUUCUCUAAAGAAAAAGAAUUUCUUAGCCAGAUCACUAUAGGCUUGUUUUUAAUCUGUUAUUAAUAUAGAAAUGAUAGGUUAUGAAUUCCCCAAUCUGUGAAGUUAAGGUGAUGUUGAAUUAUUGCUUGGAUAAACAUGCAGCAUUACAUGAUGCUGAUAGGAUCAUGUUGGCAAAGUGUAAAACAAUACAGGCCCCACUGAAUGUCAUAUGUCAUUUAUGCAUUGCAGUUUUUAUCGUCAUGUUACUGUUUCUUUCAUUCGUCUUGAGUUUCUGAUUAUAUAGUGGAACAUUUUGAUUCAUACAUUUGUUAACAGUGACA